rnacentral:rRNA from 1 species
GACGAACGCUGGUGGCGUGCCUAAUACAUGCAAGUAGAACGCUGAAGAGAGGAGCUUGCUCUUCUUGGAUGAGUUGCGAACGGGUGAGUAACGCGUAGGUAACCUGCCUUGUAGCGGGGGAUAACUAUUGGAAACGAUAGCUAAUACCGCAUAACAAUGGAUGACACAUGUCAUUUAUUUGAAAGGGGCAAUUGUUCCACUACAAGAUGGACCUGCGUUGUAUUAGCUAGUAGGUGAGGUAAUGGCUCACCUAGGCGACGAUACAUAGCCGACCUGAGAGGGUGAUCGGCCACACUGGGACUGAGACACGGCCCAGACUCCUACGGGAGGCAGCAGUAGGGAAUCUUCGGCAAUGGGGGCAACCCUGACCGAGCAACGCCGCGUGAGUGAAGAAGGUUUUCGGAUCGUAAAGCUCUGUUGUAAGUCAAGAACGGGUGUGAGAGUGGAAAGUUCACACUGUGACGGUAGCUUACCAGAAAGGGACGGCUAACUACGUG